rnacentral:rRNA from 1 species
AUUGAACGCUGGCGGCAGGCCUAACACAUGCAAGUCGAACGAGUGGCGGACGGGUGAGUAAUGUCUGGGAAACUGCCUGAUGGAGGGGGAUAACUACUGGAAACGGUAGCUAAUACCGCAUACCAUCGGAUGUGCCCAGAUGGGAUUAGCUAGUGGGUGGGGUAAAGGCUCACCUAGGCGACGAUCCCUAGCUGGUCUGAGAGGAUGACCAGCCAAACUGGAACUGAGACACGGUCCAGACGCCUACGGGAGGCAGCAGUGGGGAAUAUUGCACAAUGGGCGCAAGCCUGAGGCAGCCAUGCGGCGUGUAUGAAGAAGGCUUUCGGGUUGUAAAGUACUUUCAGCGGGGAGGCGUUACCCACAGAAGAAGCACCGGCUAACUCCGUGCCAGCCGCCGCGGUAAUAC